rnacentral:rRNA from 1 species
CCUACGGGGGGCUGCAGUGGGGAAUAUUGCACAAUGGGCGAAAGCCUGAUGCAGCAACGCCGCGUGAGUGAUGAAGGCCUUUGGGUCGUAAAGCUCUGUCCUUGGGGAAGAAACAAAUGACGGUACCCUUGGAGGAAGCCCCGGCUAACUACGUGCCAGCAGCCGCGGUAAUACGUAGGGGGCGAGCGUUAUCCGGAAUUAUUGGGCGUAAAGAGUGCGUAGGUGGCCAUGUAAGCGCGGGGUGAAAGGCAAUAGCUUAACUAUUGUAAGCCUUGCGAACUGUGUGGCUUGAGUGCAGGAGAGGAAAGUGGAAUUCCUAGUGUAGCGGUGAAAUGCGUAGAUAUUAGGAGGAACACCAGUGGCGAAGGCGACUUUCUGGACUGUAACUGACACUGAGGCACGAAAGCGUGGGGAGCAAACAGGAUUAGAUACCCCUGUAGUC